rnacentral:misc_RNA from 1 species
GUGAAGCCCCUGCUUCAAUGGAAGUAGAAACAAGUUCAAAUGGACUGGGAACACAUAUUGGGUCUUUUCUACUGCCACCUAAGCCGAAGUUUGAGCCUCUGAAGGCUCAUGAGAUGUCUGAUGGUCGAGUUCAGUUCAGGAAGGUCUCAGUUCCACCACAUAGGUAUUCACCACUCAAGAAAGCAUGGAUGGAAAUCUACACUCCAAUAUAUGAGCAGAUGAAGAUUGAUAUCCGUAUGAAUCUCAAAGCUAGCUAGAAAGGUUGAAUUGAAAACCAGAUCAGAUACACCUGAUGUUAGUAACCUGCAGAAGUGUACAGAUUUUGUACAUGCUUUUAUGCUAGGUUUCGAUGUUAUAGAUGCUAUUGCACUUUUGCGACUGGAUGAGCUGUAUGUGGAAUCUUUCGAAAUCAAAGAUGUUAAAACCCUUAGAGGUGAGCACUUAUCUCGUGCCAUUGGAAGACUGUCGGGUAAAGGUGGCAAAACAAAGUUUGCUAUUGAGAAUGCUACGAAAACAAGGAUUGUGAUUGCUGACACCAAGAUUCACAUAUUAGGAUCUUUUCAAAACAUUAAAAUUGCAAGGGAUUCCCUCUGCAGCCUCAUUUUAGGGUCCCCUGCCGGAAAGGUAUACUCAAAGCUUAGA